AGUGCGUAAUAGCUCACUGGUCGAGUGAUCCUGCGCCGAAGAUUUCCGGGGCUAAAACUUACUACCGAAGCUACGGCAUCAGUAAUGAUGGGUAGGGGAGCUUCCCAUACGGGUUGAAGCAUGACCGUAAGGACAUGUGGACAGUAUGGGAGUGAGAAUGUUGGCAUGAGUAGCGAGAUGUGGGUGAGAAUCCCACAGGCCGUAAACCCAAGGUUUCCAGGGGAAGGUUCGUCCGCCCUGGGUUAGUCGGGACCUAAGCUGAGGCCGAAAGGCGUAGGUGAUGGACAACAGGUUGAUAUUCCUGUACUACCGAUAACCAUUUGAGAGAAGGGAUGACACAGUAGGAUAAGCUAAGCACACUGUUGGUUAUGUGUGCCCAAGCAUUGAGGCAGUCAAAGUAGGCAAAUCCGCUUUGAUAAUGCUGGGAUGGGAUGGGGAGCGAAAUUUAGUAGCGAAGUAGCUGAUUUCACACUGUCAAGAAAAGUCUCUAUCGAGGUUAAAGGUACCCGUACCGCAAACCGACACAGGUGGGUGAGGAGAGUAUCCUAAGGCCAGCGAGAGAACUGUUGUUAAGGAAC
rnacentral:rRNA from 1 species